CCCUUCACAAUUGUGAUGGAAUGCUAGGGUUCACACCCUUUAAGUUUGACUUUUUCUGUUAACCAUUUUAUUAAUCUCUAAAAACCAAGCAUAGCUCCGCUUUCCUCGUUGCAUGUUUUCCUCAGACUAAUCAGUUUCCUUCUCCAGAAUGUGGCAACCUUAUUGAAAAGUCUUCCCAGCCCUAUCAACAUAUAUCUCUAGGAUGAUGAAAGAAGACUUUCUCCACCCUUUCACCGCCACAAUCUUCAUAUAUCACCAAUCUAUCUUCAGUCUGUUGAAGUUUGAAAGAGAUUAUGAAUAUUCCAUGCUCCUUCAGAGGACCAGCAUAACAUUCUACAUACCUCCCGUAAGCUCGCCCUAUCCUUCUUUAAUCUACUCAUGAAAUUUCCUGAAAUAACUCAUUUUUUUUAAAUAAGGGUUUGUUUGGUAAUUUUUGCCAAAAGAAAUUAAAAAGAAAAUAGAAAAGAAGGAAUUUAGUGGGCCAAGCCCAAAAAGGAAAAGGAAAAAAAAAAUAAAAAGGAAGGGCUGAAGCCCAAAUUUGAAAGAAAAGACAAGAAUGAUUUAAAAAGAGAAAUGAAGCCUAUGUAACAGAAGCAGAAAAGGCAGAAGCAGCAGAAAAUACGCAGAGAAAGAAAAGAAAAGGGAGGGAGAAAAAGAGAGGAAAAGAAAAGAGAAAAAUAGGGAUUUUCAACCCUAAUCAUCAAGGUAAUGCUUCUAAUCUUUUAUUUAAGUUUAUUAAGUAAUUAUGGGUGAAUUUUUGUGGAAAAAACAUGGGGAUAUUUUGAGGAAUUCAGAAAGUUUAGCUCUAGCGUUGUCAACCAAAAUCAUUGAUUUGAAAGGGCAAAUAGCGUCGGAUUUUAGACUUCUAUAUAUCGUUGGAAUCCUCUCGUUAAGGCCUUUCCGAAAACAUAAGUCUUGUCGGGUUUUGAACACAUUGACCAGAGGGCAUUUUCGUCUUUUAAAAUUUGACUUUAACCGUUUAAGCCUCUAAAAAUAUAGAAGUGGUUUACCCUAAGGGUUUCGACCAUUCUAAAUCCGUUUUUGUGUAGUUUGAGGCAAUCCAGAGACUCGAGAACGUAGUUUUGAUUUAUUGGGAAGUGUGCUUGAAUUGUGAAUUUGAGAUACUGUCGUUGAGAACGAGGCUGGUAAUUGAAGACUUCGUGAGUGGAUUCUGUUGCUGAGGUGAGCCACCGCAUUGUUCCUGGAGGCAGCCAUUUCAGCUUUAUCUAGUUUAUUUCUAGUUAUUUCUUUUAUUUUGGGUUUACAUGCCCGACACUCAAACUCAUGUAACUCUGUUAGAUGCUCCAUGGUCUUAGCGUGGGAUGUGGGCUAGAGAUUCUUUUUAUCUUAGCGUUGAUUGGUUUUCAUAAAUCGAUUAUGGAUUUGGUUGGCGACUAUUUCGCAUUUUUAUCAUUAAUAACGUUGUUGGA